UACGGAGGAGGCAAGCGUUAUCCGGAAUUAUUGGGCGUAAAGCGUCCGUAGGUGGUUGGCCAAGUCUGCUGUCAAAGGGUGGGACUUAACCUCAUAAAGGCAGUGGAAACUGGCGAGCUAGAGUGCGGUAGGGGUAGGGGGAGUUCCCAGUGUAGCGGUGGAAUGCGUAGAGAUUGGGAAGAACAUCGGUGGCGAAAGCGACCUGCUGGGCCUGCACUGACACUGAGGGACGAAAGCUAGGGGAGCGAAAGGG
rnacentral:rRNA from 1 species